rnacentral:rRNA from 1 species
UGUGCCUACGGAGGGCAGCAGUGAGGAAUAUUGGUCAAUGGGCGGGAGCCUGAACCAGCCAAGUCGCGUGAGGGACGACGGUCCUAUGGAUUGUAAACCUCUUUUGUCGGGGAACAAAGGCGCCCACGGGUGGGCGGAUGAGUGUACCCGAAGAAAAAGCAUCGGCUAACUCCGUGCCAGCAGCCGCGGUAAUACGGAGGAUGCGAGCGUUAUCCGGAUUUAUUGGGUUUAAAGGGUGCGCAGGCGGAAUGUCAAGUCAGCGGUAAAAUUUCGGGGCUCAACCCCGUCGUGCCGUUGAAACUGGC